UUCCAAGCAAUACUGGAAAAUACUGGUUGCCAUUUAGGGGAUCUUCCUGACCCAGGGAUCGACCCCGCGUCUCCUGUGCCUCGUGCAUUGCAGGCAGAUUAUUUACUGCUGAGUCACAAGGGAAGCCCAUUUUAAAACCUGCCAAAGCCUUAUACCAUUAGCUCAUUGACAAUAGCAGUGGUUAAAGGAAAAAAAAAUCUGGGUUUUAUACUUGUUGACUUGGAUUAAAAACAGAGAGUGAAAAUGUUUGGGAUGGGUUGUGAAUGAUCUGCCUCAUAUGGCAGGAAGGUUAGUGGAGAGCAGACCAUGAAGGUCUCUGAGGUCUUCUCAGGUCUGAGACCUGAGAAGUCUCAGAGCAGGGAGCUGAGGUAGAGUCUCUUAAGCAAGGGACCAGCGGGAGAGUGCCAGGGCCCUGGUACAGGUUGCAGGGCAGAGGUUGGCUGGAGGAGCCCAGCCGAAAGUGUGGUCCCUCAAAGGCUGCUUGACACCAGUGACAGAAGCCUGGGCAGGGAGGCAGAUGGGAUACAUGGUAUCUGAGUGUGUGUGUUAUUGGGAAGAGUUGCAGUUGGGGCAGAGAGGCAGAGGGAGUCCAGACCUGCUCCAAGGUCAAAAGCCACAGGAGCCGUUUGCCUCCUUGCAGUGAACAUUCACAUUGGGGAGGCCAAGUUCAUCUGAGGAGCCUUGACCAGCUGGACCCAGCGGGCUUGAAUUCAGCCAAGGAUGCUAGUGGGAAGUCUCUCCCCAGGUGGUGAGGAAGAAAGGCUGGAACAAGAAGGCCUGCCCUAUCACUGUGGGUAUGGUCCUGACCUUACCUUCCUGAAAUAAAGCCAGAGCUGGGUCUUCUCAAGGCCUGCUGGCUUUGGGACAGAGCUGGGCCUGAGCAGGAACAGGAGGAAGUCAAGGGAAAAUGAUACUGGUUUUGGAUAAAGCACUUGGGUGGGUUGCAGAAGCUAGCCUUGAUCCCAUCUGCUAUUCAGAUAACAUCAAGCCCUUCUGUCAGAAUUGUGUAGAAAUAGCAGCAAGCCUGGGAAGAAUUGCAAGCUGUCCACUUUGACUAGUCAGGGUCAUUUACCAUGUUGAAAACCAUUUUUAUUCAAGGGAAACUAUAGUGGAUUUAGACAUGAGACCAGUUUUUUUUUUUAAUUAUCUGAUGUUUAAAUACUCACCAAGCGCCUAUUGUAUGUGAGGCACCAUGAAGAUUAAUUGUAAAAAUCCAAGGUGAAUUUUCAUACCUUGAUGAUAGAGAAGAGAGCAGAUUAUAAGAAUGUGAAUCUGUGUACUGAUUAGAUACCUGCCCAGGAAAGCUCUUGGAAGAGUUGAAACACAUCUGGGGGCUGGGAGAGGGUGAGUUCCGGGCCAGCAGCCUGUGAGGGCUGCAGCCUCCAGCAGAGGAUGGAGGGGAAGGAAGAGAGGCAGGAAGCAUACAGGUGGGCUCCACCUCAGCUCCGGGUUCUGUAGGGGGACCCACGUCGUGUCAGGUUGUCCCUCCAGUGAAACCCGUCAGUGCCUGCUGCUGCCUGGCAUGGAGGCCCACAUCCUGGCCAGGGCCUGUUAGGCCUGUGAAAUCUUCAGCCCAGGCCCCCCAGCCUUCUGCAGGCCAGUUUUUGAUAUCCUCUGCCCCCAGGUGACGGGCUGCCAUCAGGUCUCAGAUUUGGAGCUUGGCCCCCAGGCCCUUUUCUUCUCAGGUUGCUGAACUGCUCCAGUUUGCCCAGGACUCAAGGUAGGGAGUGUGUUACUUGGAUGCCCACUCAACAGUUUCGAACCCAGGACCAUCCUUGUCAAAUUGGGGGAAGGUGUCACCUUGUUCCCGAGGCCUGUACUCCCCACACUGUUCCUGUCCUGAUAUCUGCACACAUUGAACCAGUCCCCGGCUGUUUUCUUAGGAGAAGCCCUGGGUAUACCCCUCCUGGCCUCACGGGGCCUCCCGCUUGCCCACUCUGACUCCUUCACUUCUCCUUUGUAGCUCUUAUUACAUCUGCAAGUAAUGUAACUAGUUGUGGAAUUAGCUUCCUGAUAUUUAAAGCCUGCACAUCUCUGACAGGUGGGUAGUGCCUGUCUGGUUUAAAGUUGUAGUCUCGGCCCUCUGCACAGUACCUGUCACAUGACUGACACUGAAAAACAUCUGCUGAACGAGAAUUCCGGAGCACCACUGCAAACCAUUACAUGUCUCAGCUGUUAAGAGCAACAACUUAAAAAUGUGUACGGGUCAUUGUAUAUGUACUGUGUGCUCGAGUCAGAGUCCCUGGUUAUAUCUUGGCACCCUUAACAGGUGCUCAGGUCUCCUUAUUUCUCACCGGAGGAUGUCAGUGCCUGCCAGCGCGUCUCCUGUCUCCACUGCACCUGGACAGGGCUGCCAGGGCCACCUCCCAGAGCUGAGUGCUGAGUUCAUCUUUGCUCAGAAAGCUCUAAUGAUGCGCGACUGCUCAUAAUAGCAUUUGUGAUCUUCUUGCCCCUAUGUCUGUUAUUCUUCUGCCUCUCUGUCUCUGUCAAAAUAAACAAUACAUUGUUUCUCUGACGCACCUCCAACUUUCUUAACUCUGACUUCCCUCGUGCUGUUCUAUACCUUAUCCCUCCCUUACCUUUUGAAAUCCUACCCAUCCUCCAAAGCCCACUAAUAGACCUCUUGUCCAAGGUCAGUUCUAACUGCCUCCACCCAUUUCUGCGUUUUGUAGAAACAGACAUUCCCACUGUGUUAACUGUCUUGAUCUUCUAACCAGAUUAUAGGCAACUUGAGAACAGGGGCAGUGUUCUAUGCAUCUGUAAUGCUUUAUACAUAGUAGGUACUCAACACUGUUCAAAAUUUUUGUUAAGCUGAGUUAAGUAGGUUUAACUUCAUGCUCCUUUUGUUUCAUGUAGCCCAUAAGAUAAUUUUAUAAAAAUUCUAGAUCUGAUUUCAUUUUUAACUUGACAUCUAUGUUUUUUCCACAAAUUUAAAUACUGCCAAGGAUAUUUUUUUUUAUAAAUGCUUUAAAUGUAUCUUAUUUAAACCUUGUAGUUGCAGAUUUGACUCAUUUAACUUAUGGAAAAUACCUGCUAUAUAAUCUAACUUGAAAAGCUAGUCUUUGUGGUCAAGUCAGACAAACAGCCAAGCCACACAUUUAAUCAGAAAAAAAGUCUGACUUUAUUUUAAAAUUUAGAUAAACGUGGGUGCUAAUUCUUAGAUAGGAACCCUACGGGGCUCUUGAAUUGAAGGAAGGCAUUGCCCGUGUAAGUGACGCUCUCUGCUUUGCUCUCCUGACUCCCAAAGGCUGCCUUCUCCAGUUGUCACUUUAAUGCUCUAGAGGUUUUACACUUUAGGGGGAUGAACAGAGUCGAAUUUAGGUUACAUGAUAAGUCCAUCUUUCUUCCAUAAUGUGAAGGGUCCUUGUGUAGGGCAGGUGGGAAUGGGCAAUGGGCAAACCACAGGCCUUGAAAUGCAUAAAAAUGGAAGAUGAAGUUCUGGAAGUGGAUUCCAAGUAAGAUAGGUCUCUGCUUGUGUGAGCCCUGGAAAGUCUGUGUGCCCUCCAGGGACUGUGUGUUCUUGGCGUGAAGGCAUUUGACCCAGGAGGAAGGCACAGUGGGGAUUGCAUCUUCUUUCACACGGACACACCUUGUGAGGGUUUUAGAAAAUUUUCCUUCCACUUAAUGAAGAAAGGUCACUUUGUUGCUUCACAAGAUUUCCAGGUGAACUCAUUCUCCAGGACACCGUUACAUCAGAAGAAAAGAUCCAAUGAAACUCUCAGAAUCUUUUAAAACAGAUGCGGCCCUCAUCUGCGGUUGCCAGCAAUCCUCCCCCAGGGCGGUGGACAGACUUCAGCUUUCCUGGAUCACUGGGCUGCCGGGGUGUUAUGCCACCAGUGUGGCCCAGCAAGAGGUCAGUGUAGUUUGAGAUUGUUGCUCCAUCAUUUAUUCCCAAAUGUUUACACACUGCAGCUGCUAUUACCACCAGUAAGCAUAAGCAUCAUCUCUACACAUUCAAUUGGUGCCCUAAAUAAACUUGACAUGAUGCGGAAUCAUGCAUUAUCAUUGAACGUAGUGCCAGUACUGUGUUAAGACUUGGAAAGCACUCUGGAGAUUUUGUAGGCAUCCCGUCUGGCGCUAUGGUUAUCUGAAAAAGAAAUCUCGUUAGUCCAACUUCUUCAGCAGUUAGGUCACUUGAUUUUGCAGUGAGUUUGGCCUGAAAAAUAAUAUCAGUUGGGCAGGGUCAGAUUCAUUCUAGGGGAGCCCCAAGCUUACACAUUUUGGGAGAGACUCAAUAAGAAAGAAAAUGUAAAAUUUCAUAUGAGCUUGAGGGCUCACACAUGCUUCAGUUCCUCCAGCUUCACAGCAAACCCACCUGUACCGCAGGAACAGUGGUCAGGUGUCUGGCAGAGUGCCUUGCACUUGGAGUACACACUUGAAACUAUUCCAGGCACGUGCAGCCCCCAGGAGCCACACACUUCACCAGGUCUGGGGGGUGUGUGAUCCACUGCUUGGAAGGGGAAUCAGAUCCUGAUGAAAGCAAGGGGUUCUCUGCUGAAAGCCUUGCUGUUGUUCCAAGACAGAGGCUGCAGAUUGGUAGGCUGUGGGCCAGACUCGGUGUGCAGGUGGUUAGUUGUGGUAGAAGAUAAGAAUCUUCUUGUUCACUGUUUCUUAAAAAUGUGAAUUAAACUUGUCAAACUUUAAAAACCAUAAAUUUCAUAUAAAAAGCUGAUUUCUGUUUUGUUUUCUCCCCCCUACCCCCCCAACCCUUCUCAUGAGGAACUGAAAGAUAGUUCCAGUGACAGAUGACAGCUUUAGAGGAGGGAUGUGCUUAUUGGUCCACCCAGUCCCCACCUUGGCUAUCUUCAUGUUUAUUUUCUGCCUGACCUUGGAAAUUUGAUUCAUGGUAAAGCCUUGUCCUUUGAGGCUCCUCACUUGCUCAGCCCUGGUGCUGCCCUGUCCCUGCCCUGAUACCUUUGGUCUCUGAUCUGUGAUCUUUUUGAUGUCAUAAUGAUUUUUUUCCUUUUAAGAUGUAAUUGGCUGUGCAUGAUUAAUACUGACACCUCAUUUUUUAAACUAAAUACAUUGUUUUAUAGAUCUUGCUUUUUUCAGCUUGCACUUGGCCUUUCUCUGGUUACUCCAUAAAGAACGACAUACAUUUAUGGUAAUUAUCUCAAUUUGUGUGCUUGAUUUCACACUUUGUAUUAGCUUCUCACUUUUCUGAGCGAUACACAGUAGGUUUAAAUCUUUAAAAAGAAAAAGAAAAAGCCUACUGGAGUAAAAAUGGUCAGUUGGGCAUUUUAGGCCUCCUGUUGACAUCAGUGGGAAGUCUUGACUAGGGUUGAGAACUGUUUCUUUGGAUUGUAAUCUUGAUGGCACGGUUGUCAUUAUCCUAUUCCUAUUACUUCCUAGAACUCUUUCUUCUCUGUAGUGCAAGUAUUGUUUUAUGUUGCAAACAGGUUAUCUGGCCAUUCAUUUCGCACUGCAUUCAUUUUACACUGCUUUUCACAAAGUCUUGGCUUUUGCAUAAGCUUGGAUUUUGCAUGAAAAAAAAUCCAGAAUUAAAAGAAAAAAAUGUGAUGGAAUUUACUGGUGAUUGAUACCUACCUUUUUGGGAAAAAAAAGUUUCAGUAUCAAUCAGCAUAGCAAGCAACAGAAACAUAGUGUCAAUUCAUGAAUGAUGUAGUCACUUGACAGGCAAAUACCAACUAGAGUGUCUAUGAGAAAACUCUGUUUACUAGGGUGAAAAAAGUCUACAGUUAUUUUCCCUUGCAGUUUUACUGCAUUUAGAGUCAACUUUCAAAGAAGUCCUAUUUGGGCAUUAAACUUAUAUUUUGAAAAAUCUAAGACAACUGCAGUUUUUAAAAAUCAACUCAACUUCUGGCAAUUGUUUCCUUCAAAUUAACACUGCCAACAAAAGAGUUUUGUGCAUGGUUAGAACUGGCUAAGUUUAAAAUAAAUUUAGUGGAGUAAAUGAAUUUUAAAAGUAAGCUGGUACAAGACUUGAGUUUGGUUUUUACCUCUAAGAGACAUUUUUCUUAAAAUGUUGAGCUGUCUUUGAUAACAUAUUUUUAAGUUUCUUUACCUUUUAAGUGAUCUGAUCUGUAUUUGCCUUAGUCGCUAAGUUGUGCCCUUCUCUUUGCAAUUCCAUGGACUGUAGCACGCCAGGCUUCCCUGUCCUUCAGUAUCUCCUGGAUACUCAAAGGAGUACCAUGUCCUCAAACUCAUGUCCAUUGAGUCAGUGAUGCCUUCCAGCUAUCUCCUCUUCUGUCAUCCCCUUGUGCUCGUGCCCUCAAUCUUUCCAAGCAUCAGGGUCUUUUCCAGCGAGUCGGCUCUUUGCAUCAGGUGGCCAAAAUAUUGGAGUUUCAGUCACUUUUAUUAAGGGAAUGUUAUUCUGCAGUGACCUAUGAUCCUGUCUGACCGAGGGUUUUAAAACUUUCUGAUAAUUUUUUUUUUAACAAAACUUCGAAAAUAAAAUUCUAAUGAAGUUCUUUUGACCCCUAGCUAAUUUGGGGAUGCUUCAGAGGGCCCCUGGAAAACUUUAGAGAGAGAUAUUAAACUAAUUAGGUUCAUUUGGUAUGUUAAAUUUCAUGGGAAGUAUUGUCAAAUGAGUAAUAAAUCUUCUUAGGUUAUGUUAUAAGGGGAAAUGUUAUUAACAUAGAUAUUCCAGAAGUUGCAUGGAAUUCUUUAAAUCUGAUACUUCUGGUAAAAUUAUCAGUCAUAAUUCUAGUUAUUAAAGUGUUAUUUGUUGUAGCAGUAGCCAAAUUUCUUUGUCAAUUGCAUUGUAGUCAGAUUUUAAAAGUGCCAUAUGUCUUUUGACCAUUGGCAUUUAUGGUUUUAUUCUGAUUGCUUUUACAGAAAUGCUUCCUCUUCAAAAAGAUUUAUGGGAAGAACAUUAGGACAAGUAUAGGUUUCUGACUUUCAGACAAUAAUGCUGAACUGGGUAAGAAAUUAAAGAAUUCUAAAAGGAAACCUAAUGGCUUCAUAAAACUGUUAACAAUAGGAGUGAAUCAACUGAUGACUCUGGCUGUAAUUUUUAUGGUUUCUAUCUGAAAAGUAACUGGUUUUAAUCUGUGUUUUCCAGAUAUAAGGAAACCCUCCUCCUCAACCUGAUUAUGACUUGUGUUUGGUAAAUUAUGCUUUUGUAAACUGAAUUGAAACAUUUAUCUCACCUAUCUGAUCUCUCCAGAGAUUGGAAGUGCUUAGGUUCCAAGUAGCUUUGUCUGAUAUAUUAGGAAGGACAUCUCCUAACAGAUACAGGAGUCUCAAGGAAAGGAAUUCACCCAAGUCUGUGAGACAGUCUGUGACAAGCCCUUGGGUAUGACUUUGCUAUUUCUGAGAGGCCUUUCACAGGUUCAGUCAGGGACUCCUUAUAAAAGAAGUCUGCUAAAAGCUAUUUUUAAAAAAGCCUAUGCAAGCAGCUAUAUUUAUAUAAAUCAUCAGGCCAAGUUUAUUGAGAUCAGACUUACUUUGGAAACAGAUUAGUCUUAAUUUGGCUGAAUUUGGUAGAAAUGAGAGUAAUUGUAGAAAAAGAGUUUGUCAGUGAGUACUGAAUUCUAGUUGUGUUGAGGUCUGCAUUUACUAACUCACUCCUCAGAUGGUUCCUUGCUGUUAUAUUAAGUUUAAUUGAAUAAUUAUUAGGACACCCUAAGUGUGUUUCUGAAGCUUAUCUUAACUGUCUAUCUUUAGAAGAAGAUCAAGUAUCCCACAACCUGCAAACAAUAUUGUGUGUACUGGAAAUGGCAUCUUUUAAAGGACCACCUCCCACACAGGUGGAAAGAUCCUUACCGGGUACUCUGCACUAGGUCAUGUACUGCAAAAUUGAAAGAAAUUGACUCUUGGAUUAAUAUUUCCACUUAGAAAGGGCUCCUACACUGGACUGGUCUACAGAAAGGACUGCUGAUCUCAAAUUCACCUUAAAACAACACUGAAACAGAGGAGAGACUACACUCAGACCAGGAUGAGAAAAAGACAUCAGAAGUAGACAGCUGGCUGAAGAUGCUGGACCUGACCCGCUGCAAGACUCUUCACUUGAGGCUUUCAACUACAUUGUCCUCUUGUCAAACAACUAAACUAUACUUCUGCCUGGUGGGAAUUAAACAGCUGGUGCUCAGGAUACUGCACUUACAAAGAAAAGGAAAGAGGCAACCCAAGGAAACUGUUUACAUGUGCCCUCUUGUGAUGGACCUGAUCUCCCUCUUUGACUUUCUGACUUCAAGUAGGGGAGGUAAGGCUUAUUUGCAUUUGAACUCCUGUGAGGGGCAGAGUAUGGGAAGCCUCAUAUUAUUUCAGGUCACAUAAAAGAGAAACUGCCCUCUGAAACAUUUGCCUUUUAGUAUGUGUAGCUACAAAUAAGAAUGUAUGGAUAACUAACUGAAGGUAAAACUUUAAAAAGAAAGAUUAAAAAUUAAAAUGGCAGAGCAGAAAGGCAAGCAUUGAAAUUUUACUAGGUUAUUAACCAUGGGCAAGGAAAAUAAACAUCUAGACAAAAAAGCAAACCAAACAGAAAUAAAAGGAGAAAAAAAUAAAGGUAAGCAGAAGGGAAUGCUAAAAAGAUCCGUGUUCUUUAAUGAAAAUAAAUGGGCUAUAAUAAUGAUUUUUUAAUAUUAGAGAGUCAUUGUAAUCUGAGAAAUAUAGGAGGAAUACUUUGCUCUGUCAAGGUGAAAAUGUAAUGGAAAGAGGAAUCUUAAAAAGACAACAAAUGAGUGAAAUAUAACACUGCUGUCAAAGAAACUCCUAUCUCUGAGCCUGAGACGAGAGGAAAGCCUUCUCAUAAAGGAACUGCAGCAAUGCCAAUCUCAAUUUAACAAAUUAUGGUCCUUCAAUUAUAAAAUUUGUAUUGUAGAUGAAAACUGAUUAAGAUCUAUGAGCUAAACUGCAAAAUUCUGACUUAUGGCAAACUGUUGCCUAGAAUACAAUUUUUAAAACCUUUUUUUCUACCACUGAAAAUGUACAGAAACGUGAUUACAGAAAUGGCAGUACAAAUGGCAUCACACCAGUGAAUUCACUAGGUUUCUAACUCACCCUGCAAGUGUGCAGGGAACACUGCUUCUAAGACUGGUGAUGGGUGCCACAAGUGAGCCGUGGAAACAGGUCAUGGGCGAACAGUUCUGAAUGUUUCAAAGAAACCUUUUAACCCCUGUCUAGAUAUGUCAAGAACAAUUUAUUUACAACUCUUCAGAUCAAUUAAAAGAUAUAAUCUUGUCUCAGUUUCAGCUUGCUCCGUGCAGUUUGAUUUUUAAGGCGAUAUUCCAGUUUGUGAUUGCUCUUAACUUGUCCAGUUUCUUGAAACAAAGUUUGGAUGACAGCCAAAUCCUUCAUGCAGUGGGGGAAAAUUUUUUUUUUUUUUUUUUUUUUACUAAAGCUACACUGCAUUCUCUGUGAUGUUCUUCAUGUUAUUUUGGUUCUUCCGUAGCUGCCAAAGCCCCCACUGUGUAACGGGGCUUUAGGAUCAGUUAGGUCUGCACUGUGGACACCGUCCGGACCAUGCUUAUUGGACACGUGGGGCUUCACGUCGGUGCUCCCAAGCCUUGGUGCCUCGUGGAUUUAUGCAUGUGACAGUGGAAAUAAAUUAAAACGCCAAGAGACGGAACCUAAGAACGGCCUGCAGGAACCUGAGGUUGGUUGGAGACAAGAAGGCAGACACCUUGAGCUCCCCUCCUUUUGUAAACGUGCUGGUCACAACUAACUGCUGAACAGCCACUGAUAAAAGACAGGAAUCUACCAGAACAGGAUAUUCUGCAUCCAGAGACAUAAGAAGGAACCACGAGAUAGCGGUAGGAGGGGCACACUCACGAUAUAAUCAAAUCCCUUACCACCCGGGUGGGAGACCCACAAACUGGAGAAGGAUUACAUUGCAAAAGUCCUCCCACAACCUAGAAGAAAUAGGCAUAUUCUUAGAAAAGUACAGUCUCCCACGACUGAACCAGGAAGAAGUAAAAAAAAAAUAAGAACAGCCCAAUGACAAGUACUAAAAUUGAAUCUGUGAUUUAAAAAUUCCCAACAAACAAAAGUCCAGGACCAGAUGGUUUCAUAGGCGAAUUCUACCAAACAUUUAGAGAAGAGUUAAUUAACAUCUCUCCUGAAACUAUUUCAGAGGAAGGGAAACUUCUAAACUCAUUCUGUGAGGCCACCAUCACCCUGGAUUGAAAGAUCCAACAUUAUCCAAAUGGGCUGUACUACCUAAGGCAGUCUGCAGACUCAGUGCAGUUCCUAUCAAACUUUCGUUUCUCACGUGGGCUCCUACCAUAACUUCUUCUCUUUCCUACCUCUGGUCUCCAUGCAGCAGCCACAGCAAUGUCUCUGAGACAUAAAUUUGAUCAUGCCAUUCCUUUGCUUAAAACUUUUGGUGGAUUCUCACUGCUCUUAGGCUAAAAUCAUUAACAAAGCCCACAAAAGCUUGUCUCAUCUGGCCCCUGCCAGCCUCUCCAGCUUCACCUCCAUUCAUCCCCUUUUCCUCAUUCACACUGGUCUUUAUGCAGUUACUCAAACACACAAGCUCAUUCUGUAUUCUGGGACCAUACAUCAUUGCUGGCUCCUCUGUACCCCACAGUGAUUCACAUGGUGGGUUCUUUUUCAUUCUUUAGGACUCCUAAAUAUUACCCAAGAGAACCCCAACCCACAGUAGGUACUCUGGUCUCCUUGAGAGCUUCUUGUCUUUUUAUUUCUUCGUAGUGCUUAUAAUUUGGAAUUAAUACUUGGAUGCCCCUCUGAUUAACAUAAGUCUCAAUUAGUAGAUUGUAAGUUUCAUGAGGGCAGUGACCACACUGGUCUUGUGUAUCACAGUGGACUUAACAUCUAGCAUAGUGCUUGACACAAUAAUACCUGUUCACUGUGUAUUUGAAUAAAAAAUAAGUCUACUGCACAAGUAGAAAUGGAAGACUUUCCAAGGGGAGGAUGGUGGUGAAAUGAUGACGUCUGUUUGAAAUGUGAGAGGAAAGAAGGAAGUCUGCGGAAAGAGCAGAAGGAGGACACCAGUGACAGGAAGUCCACGCGGAGGAGUCCUCAGCUUUCCCUGGUGGCUCCUCGGAUGCAGAGGGCAGAGAGGGUCCCGAUCCAAGUCCAUCUGAUACAACAGAUGUUCUUUCCCUCUGUAAUCGUUGCAGUUAUGAUGAUGAUAAUGCCUUCGCUUAAAGGAACAUCAUCCCUAUGGAAGCGUGAAUCAGCAUGCCAGUGAAUGUUCAGAUUAGCCCACAGGUAAGACAGAACUGAAAUGUCUUACGCGCCCUUGAGGGAGAAGCAAACCCCUUUCCUAAGUUAGAUCAACUUUAUUCCCCUUGCUGUUAUCAGCUCUAGCCAGUUUGGAUCUCUCCUAGAAAACAAACCAGUGGAUACACAUUACAUGUUACUAGUAUAUGGUGUACACACACUACACACUCACAAACACACACCAUUAUCUCUGGGUUAAAAGAUGUAUGACCUCUUAAAUUAUCUUGUAGGAACCUGGCAAUACUGAAAAAAUAAAAUGCUGUCUUUCACUUCAUAUGUCCAAGCU